AGCGUAGGCGGAUAGUUUAGUCAGAGGUGAAAGCCCAGGGCUCAACCUUGGAAUUGCCUUUGAUACUGGCUAUCUUGAGUAUGGAAGAGGUAUGUGGAACUCCGAGUGUAGAGGUGAAAUUCGUAGAUAUUCGGAAGAACACCAGUGGCGAAGGCGACAUACUGGUCCAUUACUGACGCUGAGGCUGAAAGCGUGGGGAGCAAACA
rnacentral:rRNA from 1 species